rnacentral:rRNA from 1 species
AUUGAACGCUGGCGGCAGGCCUAACACAUGCAAGUCGAGCGAGCGGCGGACGGGUGAGUAAUGUAUGGGGACUGCCCGAUCGAGGGGGAUAACUACUGGAAACGGUGGCUAAUACCGCCUACUCUCGGAUAACCAAUAUUGGAUUAGCUAGUGGGUGGGGUAAAGGCGCACCUAGGCGAUAAUCUCUAGCUGGUCUGAGAGGAUGAUAAGCCACACUGGGACUGUGACACGGCCCAGACUCCUACGGAGGCAGCAGUGGGGAAUAUUGCACAAUGGGCGCAAGCCUGAUGCAGCCAUGCCGCGUGUAUGAAGAAGGCCUUAGGGUUGUAAAGUACUUUCAGCGGGGAGGCGUUACCCGCAGAAGAAGCACCGGCUAACUCCGUGCCAGCAGCCGCGGUAAUUC